rnacentral:rRNA from 1 species
AGAGUUUGAUCCUGGCUCAGAACGAACGCUGGCGGCGUGCUUAACACAUGCAAGUCGAACGGGAUCCAGAGCUUGCUCUGGUGAGAGUGGCGCACGGGUGAGUAACGCGUGGAUAACCUGCCCUGGUAUCCGGAAUAACAUCUCGAAAGGGGUGCUAAUACCGGAUAAGCCUACGGAGCCCUCGGUCUCUGCAGGAAAAGGUGGCCUCUAUUUACAAGCUACCGUAUCAGGAUGGGUCCGCGUACCAUUAGCUAGUUGGUGGGGUAAUGGCCUACCAAGGCGACGAUGGUUAGCUGGUCUGAGAGGAUGAUCAGCCACACUGGAACUGAGACACGGUCCAGACUCCUACGGGAGGCAGCAGUGGGGAAUUUUGCGCAAUGGGGGAAACCCUGACGCAGCAACGCCGCGUGAGUGAUGAAGGCUUUCGGGUCGUAAAGCUCUGUCAGAGGGGAAGAAAUGAGAUUGGCUAAUAUCCAAUUUUCUUGACGGUACCCUCAAAGGAAGCACCGGCUAACUCCGUGCCAGCAGCCGCGGUAA